UCUUCUAUAGUGACUUUUCAUGGUCACCGAUUACAGCUGAUUGGUGUUUGGUAUUCCGGUAUACCUAUUGUUUUCACGUAAUACGUUUCAUUAACGUUCUCCAAGCCAGAUUUAUAUUUGAUAUGUCUAACAUUGGUGGACGCAAAUCAUUCCGGCUACGAUCCAGUGUUUCCUUUUAGCUGUUAAAAUAAAAUGUCGAAAAUGAGCUCGAAAGACAAAGAUAACAAAACCUUACAUGAUAAACUGAAACAAUUUUUUCGUAUUAACAAAGGAAACUAUAAAAGUCGUGAAGAUUUUACGUUAACCACUGAUCUUGAGAAAGAAAUCAGCCCUGAAAGUCCUGUACACCAUCGUACAAAAGCGAUUAAAGACCUUUGCGAUGCAGUUCUUAAUCAGCAGUGGGAAGAUACAGCAGCUGAAAGAUUAUGGUAUUUGGUACAAGAUCUUUUAGGCAAAGAUGUACCUCGUGAGCAUAGACAUGUAACAUUGAAUUUUUUACGAUGUCUUGUCCAAGGCCAAUAUUCCAAACUAUCUUCUCUUAUGAGAGUAAAAUUUUUUGUGGUUGUCAAAGAACACAAUAUUCCGGAAGACAUUGGACCUAGAUUGGAGCUUUUACAAAGUUUAACAGAAAAUGGGAAAGAUAUAUUACAUUUGGAAGAAAGAAUGGGACCAUUUCUAUUAGAAUGGAUGCCUAUUGUAACAGCAGGAGAUGCGAAGAGGGGUGCUGAGUUCUUGUCUCUUCUUGUUAAUGUCAUAAAAUUCAAUUCAGCAUACAUAGACGAUGACAUUAUAUCAGGACUUGUCCAGUACAUUUGUCAUCUCUGUUAUUAUAGCAAUAGCACUGAAGUUGUUUCCGGGUGUCUAGAAGCUUUAGAUGCAAUUGUAUGCUACAGUAAUUUGCACUCUGACUCAUUACAAACUUUUAUCAUAGCUUUGUGUGGAAGCGUAAAUGUCGAAACAUAUUGUCAAAUAAGUUGGAAGAUAAUGCGUAAUCUGUUAGGAACACACAUGGGUCAUUCUGCAUUGUAUACAAUGUGUCGUUUAUUACAAGAUGCCAAUUUUCAGCGAGACGUACGUUUACUCAGGGGUGCCGUGUUUUAUGUAAAUAUGGGUCUCUGGGGUACACAUAAAAUUCCAAAACUGGAGUGUACUCCUACAUCGGUUUUACCUUCAUUUUUCCAAGCUUUAAAAUGUAAUCACCCUAUUGUCAUGUACGAAGUGACACUGUCCAUUCAGAGAUUAGUGACCAAAUACGGUGCUGAAUUAUGGGAUCCCACAUGGAGCAUUAUUCUUGACAUCAUAGAGGAAGUUAUUUCUCACACGGAGACCAGUAAUCAACUCGCAUCUAGACAAGUUUCAGUGAGUUUACAUGAAACGAUAAAUACCAUCGAAAAUUUAUUGGAUAACAACCAUUAUAAUGGUUGUGUUCAACGAUUUUACGAUCUUGUUGAACGGUGCAGUGAUACACGACCUGAAGCAUCUGUUUUAAAAUUAAUCGAAUAUAGGGGACGUACUAUAGGACCUACUCACUAUCAAUGGCAACCGAAAUUAGCCAGUUUAAUGGAACGUUAUUAUAAAUUGGAAACGCGUACGACUGUUAGAAUGAAAAUCCUCGAAGUUUUAACAAAUGUCAUUCAAGUUAAUAGGUCUAGAUACGAAGACGAAUUGAUCGAAAGAAUUGUUGUGCCAUAUUUUCAACAUAUAGAUGCAGAUUCAGAUAUUACGAUCCGUAAUGGUGUCGCAUUCUUACUUGUUGAUCUUUGCCUCGAAUGUGAUACAAAACGAUGUCUGGAACUUCUAGACAUAGUGGAGAAGUUAAUCAAUAAGCCCUUCUGUUCUGAUAUUCCAAUCACGAAAGACACUGACAUUAAAGAUGUAAAAACUGCAGUUGUCGGUGUAAUAAAAAUCUUAACAUCGAAAAUUUACAAUUUGCCAUCGAGCCAUGCGAUACGCGCUUAUAAGGUUUUGGUGAAUCAUCUUGAUCAGCAUUAUAAAGAUCCAACCGUCUUCCACGAUGUUUCUACGAUUCGAUAUCUGAUCUUUGAGUGUUUCUUGAAAAUUAGAGCAAACACACUGUAUCAUCUUGGGUUUCCAGAUGCACAGAAUGCAUCUGUAACCAGGUUCAGUCCGUAUUUAGUUUUAGAACAUGCUGCAACUGAACGAAUAAAUAGCGGUGGCGGUGGAAGUAGCCCUCCGCCAGCAAGUCCAGCUCCGUCACAUUUAUCUUGUCAGAUUACUUAUAUGUCAUUGGCACACGCAUGUAAAGCCGUCAUUUCCUGCAUUAAAUCGGAGAAAGAUUGGAAAGUUUUACAACUCGUAUUAAAAGAGCUACCGCAAGUAAUGCAAAAUAGAGCCUUGGUAUUGUCACGGCAUACUAAUGAUAUCGAUUGUUUCGCUGCUGCACUUUGUUCAAUGGUCAGUGAUAAGAACUUACGACUUCCAGAAUCUUUGUAUAAUGUUCCUCCGAAAUUUACUCUGUCUGAAUUUCGUGUUCACGUUUUUCCAGUAUUAGCGUCGUUAGCCUCGUAUCAUGCGCAUCUGGAUCCUAAUUUACAGCAACGUUUAAUAAAAUGUUUAGAGGUUGGUUUAACUGCGAAAUGUGCUAGUCAAUGUGUUACUAGUCUUACAACUUGUAUUUUGGAAAUGCGUGACGCGAUGAACAAACUUUUAUCAGAAGUUCUCUUGAAUUUGUCUAAAAUUUCAGCGACAGUACACAUCGCUAUACCAAUCUUGGAGUUUUUGUCCACUCUUACUAGACUGCCAAAGGUUUUCGCGAGCUUCAUUGGAGACCAAUAUAUGUCAGUUUUCGCUAUUUUACUGCCAUAUACAAACCCAUUUAAGUACGACCACUAUACGGUCUCCUUGGCACACCAUGUGAUUGCAGUGUGGUUUCUAAAGUGUCGAUUACCAUUUCGAAGAGAUUUUGUCAAGUUUAUUACCACAGGUUUGAAAGCAAACGUAAUAAUACCGUUCGAAGAAGGGCAUUUAAUGAAAUCAGAUUUUAACUUCAUAAACGAAGACUCAUCAAAUAGAAAACGUAGCUCGAGUUUAACGGAACAGGGUAGUAGAGGUCGAAGGGAAAGACCAAUAAUGUCGAAUCGCAUGAUAGGCGAAAGUAAAGUAUCGGAUUUGAAACCACCCAUCGACGAGGCUUUAAUGACUUUUCACGUUGAGCUUACCGAAACUUGUAUCGAUUUGAUGGCUCGAUAUACAUUCUCAACAUACUCGGCUCGGCCUAAAAGACUUUCAACUGCUGACUUUCUUCUUAAAGAAGGCCAGUCAAUGACAUGGUUGCUUGGAAAUAAACUUAUCAGUGUAACGACCAGUGGUUGCAGCAAUAAAGCGAUGCGAGGCGGUCUCUGCGAUAAUUGUUGGGUGGCCUGUAAACCUGGCCCUCAGUCACCGGAACACACAAGGACAUCUCAGUUGAAUUUGAGGAGGGCGUCAAGUACAGAGACAGCCAAGGAGGAGAAAUUGUCUAGGCAGUCUUCCGGGGGUCAUGCUAGCUCCACAGGCAACACAGCUGCGAAUUCUCCAAUAGAAGAGUUAAAGAAAACGUCGGACGAUUUGGAGACGACGAAAAGGGAGUAUCCCGCGGAGAAAACGGAGAAAGAGCAAACCGCCGAAUCCUCGAAGUUGGAACAAAUACUCAACAGCCAGAAGCAAGAGGAACAUGUGCUUUGCGCUUGUUGGUGUCAAGGCUGGGCCGAGAUAUACGUGCGCAGACCUACAGGCGACAUGUCUUGGAUAAUGAGGAUUCAAAAUUCUACGCAAUUCGAGUCGCACGUGGAUUUCCCUGUACACGACAUACUGGCAUUGUACAGACCGACCCAGGAUAUAUCGCAGAAGCAACAGGAGUCAACGUCAGAAUAUUCUGGAGAUGAAGGAGAGGACACUGCGGAUAAAAACCAAGAUCAAGCAUCGAUCGAUCACGGUAGCACGUUAAAACCUGUUGCAUCUUCUACGUCGUCUGGUCCAAUCGCGAUACCAGGCUCACCUGCUCGACCAAAUCCCUCCAGGCAAAGCUCGCGCGACAGUUUGGAAAGUUUAGACGACGGUGACGAUGAUCUACGCCGUUCCCGGAAUCCAGUGCGCAGAUCAAACUCUAGUCCCGAGAUGAGCGCUAAUUGGAAGAAUCCGUUUUUAAAUAAGGAUAAAUUAAACCUGCAACAAGCGGACCGAGAACUUUCAUCCGGGGAUCUGGAGAUUAAACUCGACGCGGAACUGAAGAACCGUGCGAAGAACACCUACGCGAAGGACAUGAGGGUCAGUUGCGAAGCUAUACCAGAAGAGAUAUUCGGCAUGGGCACGACACCCCCAUCUUCGGAGAACACGUCGGAUCAUCCGUCUGCGUUGAGGUCUCAACGUUCUUAUCCAGGAGCAACGCAAGUGACUCAGGUUAUCACGACUACCAGCAAUACCGUUCCGCCAUCGCCAACCACUCUGCAGGUACAAGGAAACUUCUUAGGGGUACAAGCACGCACCGCGCAAAUACAAUCAUCCACUGCAAAGCCUCCGCAAUCACCCACUCAGACUUAUCCUCGGUUAUCUAGUCUCGAGCCAGGUCAGAAGCAAGCAGCGACAGGAUCAGAGAGUAAACCACCCAUUGGACGAAACCACCUUGGGGACAAAAAGGAUGAAAGGCCAGAUCCGUCCAUGUUACCUCCUUUGCCACUACCGUUCCGUGAUAGAGGUCAUACGAUUUCCGUGAUGAGUCCCGUGAAAAAAUCUCGUAGCGAAUGGGAUAACAUACGCAGAGGGAACUCGCCACGUGUGAAGGAUCCCCCUAAAGCAGGUAUUAAUCCUAGUUUUGUUUUCUUACAACUAUACCAUACAGCGCACUUCGGCUCGCCUUCAGAAAAACCGUUGUUAGUUCCGCAAACGACAGCCGUGCAGAGAGCAGUAACGAAUUUAGAUAGGAUACAGCCGUACGAAACCCAUAAGAUCGGGGUUCUUUACGUUGGACCCGGACAAGCGUCCAACGAGGUGGAAAUUCUGGCUAAUCAGCAUGGAUCCCUUCGGUACACGGAGUUCCUGCAGCGAUUAGGGACAUUGGUCCGACUAAAGGACGUCGAUGAAAGCGUAUUUCUGGGAGGUUUAGAUCGCAACGGUGAAAACGGUAACUUCGCGUAUAUCUGGCAAGACGAUGUCACACAGGUAGCGUUUCACGUGGCUACUUUGAUGCCGACUAAACCGAGCGACCCAAAAUGUACCUCCAAAAAGCAGCACAUCGGGAAUAAUUACGUUACCGUGGUGUACAACGAAUCUGGCGAAUCGUACAACAUACAAACUGUAAAGGGGCAAUUUAAUUACGCGUGUGUUGUGAUUCAGCCCUUGGAUCACGGUACCAAUCAAGUUACAGUUCAAGUGAAAGAAGAAUUAGCGAAACAUAUUCGGCACAGCGAACCUAAAAUAAUUUCAGACCAAAAUUUAGCAAUUUUAUCACGGCAGCUUGCUCUUCAUGCGAAUCUUGCUUCAAUGGUUUCGUCGUCUCUAGAACAAAACAGUCACAAUCCGUAUGCCUCUAAUUGGUUAGAACGUUUGCGACACAUAAAGCGGCUCAGGAACCGCGUGUUACAGGAAACAGUAAAUAACAAUCCGGAUGGGACGACCGACGAAUUAUCGCCAAGAUCAAGUAAACGCGUUUAUAUGGACGAUUUUACUGAAUAUACAACAUGAAUCUGAUUCCAAUAAAAACAUUACAUAAACGUUGUUAUUAAUGUAAUUCGUAUUCGUAUAAACAUAUACGUAAGAGGUUACGUUCAACCACGUGAACGUUGGCAGUGUCUAACCAGCCAUUGAGAAUUUUCACGUGAGAACUAAAAUCGUUGACAGAUGGAAGCGCCUCUGCCCACAUAAUUAAGAAACUCACGG